rnacentral:tRNA from 1 species
GCGGGUGUCGUAUAACGGUUAUUACUCCAGGUUUCCAACCUGAUAAAAGGGGUCCGACUCCCCUCACCCGCU